rnacentral:rRNA from 1 species
CCUUUGUACACACCGCCCGUCGCUACUACCGAUUGAAUGGCUUAGUGAGGCCUCCGGAUUGGCUAUUGGAAUCCCGCGAGGGAAUCUAACUGCCGAGAAGUUGUACGAACUUGGUCAUUUAGAGG